rnacentral:rRNA from 1 species
UACGGGGGGGGCAAGCGUUGUUCGGAAUUACUGGGCGUAAAGGGCUCGUAGGUGGCCAACUAAGUCAGACGUGAAAUCCCUCGGCUUAACCGGGGAACUGCGUCUGAUACUGGAUGGCUUGAGUUUGGGAGAGGGACGCGGAAUUCCACGUGUAGCGGUGAAAUGCGUAGAGAUGUGGAGGAACACCGAUGGCGAAGGCAGCCUUCUGGGCCAACACUGACGCUCAUGCACGAAAGCGUGGGGAGCAAACAGG